AUGAAAAAGGUAGGGAGCCUUGACAGUACAACUUUUCACAACAGACUUAGCUGCAGCACCAGUUAUUAAGAUUUCUCCCAGAUGAUGACCAUCAUCCAAUGAUCACCAUUAAUAGCGUUAAAACGACGGCGUCACCUCAGGGUUUUAUUCUAAUUUUACAACCUGGUCAACAAUGGCAACCAGUGCAAACGAUCUAAGCCAAUCAGGGACAAACGCAGAAAACCAUUGGCCAACAGUAGCAGCAGCAACAACCAUAUCAGAACAAUCAUCACCCAGAUUCUGCAGAAAAAGAUAUAGCAAACAACAGGAACAGCACCUUCAGACUGUAGUAACCGUAGCAUAGCAUACGAUAUUGUAUCAUACCACGAGCAGGAGGAACUUUUAUUCAGUUGCAGGUGCAGCAAGAUCGAACAGGAACCAUAGUAGGUAUAGAUCCAGCGGACACACCGCUCAACAGCAGCAACAGGGGAUCAUAGUCAACAUCCAGCAGCAGAACGCGGUGAUAAAACAGUAAAUGCAGCAGCAAGGUGCUUGAAAAGGACUUUCUCUUUCGAACAAACAUAAUGGAAGGACACGACAAGUUCAAACGGGCCAACUGUGUGACUCAUUUGGAAAAAGUGCUUCAUCGGUUUCAUGGCAUGAUAUCAAGACAAACCUCGGACUAAUCCGGAAAAUGCAUUAAGUUGAGCGAGAGUCAGGAAAAAGUUCUGCAUGUAUGCGUUGAUGAAGGUGGCGUUCCGAAAUUGCCAUGAGCUGGAUCCGUCUCAGCAACACGAAAUGAGCUCCGUCACAACUGGUAGAGCGCAAAGCGCCGGUAAGCCAACAACAGCUCAACAGAAUUAAGAAGUUAUUCAAUAUUUAGCAUAGCGAAUAGUAAGAAGGUACAAAAGGCUAAGCGCUAAACUGCCGUUAUACACAUAACUGUCUCAUGUGCUUUAUGUAAUGCAUGGGACAAUCAUGCAUAUAGCGGCAGGAAGGUACGAUUAUUUAAAAUGCGUAUAUUAAUAAUUAAAUUUAAUAAUUUAAGUAAUUUUCUUCUAAGAAUAAUCCUCUGUUUUUGUCCUGUAUCGAUAGCGUAUAGGUGAAAUAGGUUCACAAUAUUUAUUGAUCUCAUGUAAUAAACCUAUCCUAUAACACUGCGCUUAUAGGGUAUAUACAACGUCGUUGGUAUAUAUGUAUUAAAAACAAUGCAAGGUAAAUAGAAUUGAAUCGGACACGUAGUUUGAGUACAAUUUAAGCAACGGUCCAAAAUUAUUGUGUUGCAAUACUACAUAAUUUCUCCAAAUUUUGACGAACGUGUUUUAAGUGUACAAGUUGUACGCCAAUGAAAGCGUAAUGAGCCUCUGUUGGCCCUAUUAGGGAGAGGGACAUACUAGUUCGUUAUUUACUCUGCCUUCGAUAGAAUGCCUAUAAAUUGGCAUCAAUAUCUUUGCUUUGCUCCUAAGUUUUUUGUAUGUAAUAAUGACAUAAUUGAAUAUCAGUGACUGGAUCUGUAUCUGUUGCCAGGAACUGGAUCUUUAUCUUAUUCCUAAGAAUACCCAAGCGGCGCGGUGCUAGUGCGCAAGCGAUUUCAUUUAUUUCCUGUAUCUGAUACCUACAUGUUGUGAUAUAUGGAAGGCAGAAUGUUAUGUUUACUGCAGAAAAAAAUUGUUUUGAACAAUUCGUUACGUACUAGGAGACGGCGGGAUAAAAAAAAAUUGUGACAAUUUGUUAAAUGGGUGGAGGGGGGAUUAAAUAUUGAACAAAUUUUGUGUUUCGUAGUUUAUGAAUGGUCCCUUAUUUAUUUAAUUAAAUAACUAUACAUAUAUUUACUUAUAUUUAUUUUAUUUUUUAUUUCUUUAAUUUGCAUAUGCGAAUUUGUUAAAUAAAUAUGCGAUCUAAUUAUAAUGGUUUACCUUCAUCCAGUAUUGGUACAACAGUGUCUUUAAUUUGGUAGAAGUUCACUUGGUAACGCUAAUUUAUUUAUUUAUUCAUCUAGUUCAUUAUUUAUUUAUCAAGGUUAUAUAUUUAUUUAUCAUUUUAUAUACUUUUAGUAAUUCGCUAUC